GAAGCCCUGAUUGUUUCGAAGCCCUACGUAUCACGCGGGGUUUAAAGUAGGAACUUUCGGGGCUUU
rnacentral:sRNA from 12 species